CUAGGAUUAGAUACCCUGUUAUUUAGAGUUAUAAAUUGUUAGUAAGUAAUAAAUGUGAAAACAAAAAAUUAUGGCGGUGUCUUAAGCUUUUCAGAGGAAUUUGCUCUAUUAUGGAUAAAACGCCAAAAUCUUACUAAAACUAGCCAAAUCAGCUUGUAUACCACUAUUAAAGUAAUAAUUCAUUAUUAUAACUAUAAUUUUUUUAUUAAAAAUAAAUUAAGUCAAGGUGCAGCAAAAGUUUUAGGAUGAAGUGAAUUACAUUCCUUUUUAGGAAAAAAAAUGAAAUAAAUUUAUUUAGGAUUUGAAAGUAAAUUUUUAAUAAAAUGAUUUAUUGAAAAAAGUUCUAAGACAUGUACACAUCGCCCGUCGCUCUC
rnacentral:rRNA from 1 species